rnacentral:tRNA from 1 species
GAGGUUGUGGCUUAGUGGUAGAGUUGCCUCGCAUGUGUGAGGCACUGGGUUCAAUUCUCAGCACCACA